GACGAACGCUGGCGGCGUGCUUAACACAUGCAAGUCGAACGGAAAGGCCCUGCUUUUAUGGGGUGCUCGAGUGGCGAACGGGUGAGUAACACGUGAGUAACCUGCCCUUGACUUUGGGAUAACUUCAGGAAGCUGGGGCUAAUACCGGAUAGGAGCUCCUGCCGCAUGGUGGGGGUUGGAAAGUUUCGGCGGUUGGGGAUGGACUCGCGGCUUAUCAGCUUGUUGGUGGGGUAGUGGCUUACCAAGGCUUUGACGGGUAGCCGGCCUGAGAGGGUGACCGGCCACAUUGGGACUGAGAUACGGCCCAGACUCCUACGGGAGGCAGCAGUGGGGAAUAUUGCACAAUGGGCGGAAGCCUGAUGCAGCAACGCCGCGUGCGGGAUGACGGCCUUCGGGUUGUAAACCGCUUUCGCCUGUGACGAAGCGUGAGUGACGGUAAUGGGUAAAGAAGCACCGGCUAACUACGUG
rnacentral:rRNA from 1 species